UACGAAGGGGGGCUAGCGUUGCUCGGAAUCACUGGGCGUAAAGCGCACGUAGGCGGAUUUUUAAGUCAGGGGUGAAAUCCUGGAGCUCAACUCCAGAACUGCCUUUGAUACUGGGAAUCUCGAGUCCGGGAGAGGUGAGUGGAACUGCGAGUGUAGAGGUGAAAAUUCGUAGAUAUUCGCAAGAACACCAGUGGCGAAGGCGGCUCACUGGCCCGGUAU
rnacentral:rRNA from 1 species